ACUCCUCUUCCUGAUGUUGCUCCUGAAACCAUGUGGACAACCUUUUCAAGCCCGUUCACCUUUGAUUGCUGCUCUUCAUCCCAACUUUCCUGGUUUUUGAAUCAUUUGUGGUUUCUGGUUCAAGUCCAGAACCUUAACAUGGACGUAGAAUUCCUGCAAACCUUUGGAACUUUGCAUGCUUUUAAGCCAUUUCCCCGUGAAGUCAAAGACCAAAUCAAAAUUCCUUCCCUACCCCCUCCGGGUCCUACCUAUUGCUCCUGGAGCUGUAGUGGUGUCCAAAAGGUUUUUUUGUUUUUUUUAGGGGAAGCCGCAGUGACUUAGGGCUGGCUAUCCCUCUGCCGGUAAGGAGCAGAGGAGAAACACAUUUCUACAGAUGGAUGUGCUCUGAAGCACAGACGUUUACAUUUAAAUAUUCUAGGGCCAACUGCUUGUAGAAAUAUGACGAUAGCGGGGAAGAGGACUGAGAGGACGUUGGCUCCAUUUCUCCCAGUCCGAUGUUGGCUUUGCCGUCGGUGCACAAAAUGACCUGCAAACAAGAAAAUGCAUUCAACUCAACUACUGAGAAAUAUAAAUAUGGUGGUACGUCUCAGCGAUGCAGUGAGGGACGCUGUAGUCCACCGCUUGUUGCCACACGUGGUCGUAGUCAACCAGCGCCCAAUCCCUGAAGGUGAGGGGAGGCCGAGUCCC